GGAAAACAGCCCUGGAUUUCCAAAUCCUCCCAGUCAGGGUUCAGCAGUGAACACAGGUCACUCACCAUGGACUUAGGGCUCAUAUUGGUUUUCUCUGCCCUUAUUUUAAAAGGUGUCCAGUGUGAGGUUCAAUUGCUGGAGUCUGGGGGAGGCUUAGUGCAGCCUGGGAAUUCCCUGAAACUCUCCUGUGCAGCCUCUGGAUUCACCUUCAGUAAUUAUUACAUGCACUGGGUCCGCCAGUCUCCAAAGAAGGGACUGGAAUGGGUCGCAGAGAUUAAUAAAAAUGGUGGUAGCACCUGGUAUACCGACGCUGUGAAGGGCCGGUUCACAAUCUCCAGAGACAAUGCCAAGAACACUCUGUACCUGGAAAUGAACAGUCUGAAGUCUGAGGACACAGCCAUGUAUUACUGUGCAAGAAACACAGAACCUCCUGCAAUGCAAAGUAGCCCUCAGACUCAGAAUGAAAGCCAUAGACUAGCUCAGAAGCCCAUCUCCUUCUCACUAGAGCUCCAGCAAAGCAUGGCUGUCUUGGUGCUGUUCCUCUGCCUCUUGACCUGUCCAACCUGUGCAUUGUCCCUGUUCCAGGUGAAGAAGUCAGUACCUGAACUGGUGCAGCCAUCACAGCAGACCAAGACCCUGUCUCUCACCUGCACUGUCUCUGUGUUCUCAUUAACCAGCUGUCAUGAACACUGGUCCACCAGGCUCCAGGAAAGG